rfam:Salmo salar isolate Sally breed double haploid chromosome ssa13, whole genome shotgun sequence.
UGGCUCAGUUGGUAGAGCAUGGUGUUUGCAAUGCCAGGGUUGUGGGUUCAAUUCCCGC